rnacentral:rRNA from 1 species
UGGGGAAUAUUGGACAAUGGGCGCAAGCCUGAUGCAGCCAUGCCGCGUGUAUGAAGAAGGCCUUCGGGUUGUAAAGUACUUUCAGCGGGGAGGAAGGCGAUAAGGUUAAUAACCUUGUCGAUUGACGUUACCCGCAGAAGAAGCACCGGCUAACUCCGUGCCAGCAGCCGCGGUAAUACGGAGGGUGCAAGCGUUAAUCGGAAUUACUGGGCGUAAAGCGCACGCAGGCGGUCUGUCAAUUCGGAUGUGAAAUCCCCGGGCUCAACCUGGGAACUGCAUUCGAAACUGGCAGGCUAGAGUCUUGUAGAGGGGGGUAGAAUUCCAGGUGUAGCGGUGAAAUGCGUAGAGAUCUGGAGGAAUACCGGUGGCGAAGGCGGCCCCCUGGACAAAGACUGACGCUCAGGUGCGAAAGCGUGGGGAGCAAACA